UCGGGGACAUGUAGUGCGGACUAGGAGUCCCAGAGGGCCAAAAGGGGUCGUCCUGUUCUCUCAGCCUCAGCUUACCACGGGUUGGCGCUGGAUACCGCCACAGAGUCUGAAGGCUCUGGCAGGUGGAAGGGAAGAUAGAGCGGAUUCCGAGGAGGCUAAAGGAGAUGAAUCUCCAGGCCGUUACUGCAGCCUGGCCUGUGGAGGAGGACGUAAGGAGAGUGACCCUUUACUGCUGGCUGCCCUAGGUCUUAGUUGUGGCACAUGGGCUUCUUAAUUUGCGGCAUGUGGACUCUUAGUUGUGAUACACAUGCGGGAUCUAGCUCCCCAACCAAGGAUCGAACCCUGGCCCCCUGCAUUGGGAGUGCAGAGUCUUACCCACUGGACCACAAGGGGACACGGGUUCAAGCCCUGGUCCAGGAAGAUCUCACAUGCUGUGGAGCAACUAAGCCUGGGCGCCACAACUACUGAGCCUGCACUCUAGAGCCUGCAAGCCACAACUACUGACCCGCGUGCCACAACUACUGAAGCCCAUGUGCCUAGAGCCCAUGCUCUGUGACAAGAGAAGCCACCGCAAUGAGAAGCCCACACACUGCAACAAAGAGUAGCCCCUGCUCACUGCAACUAGAGAAAGCCCGUGUGCAGCAACAAAGACCCAACGCAACCAAAAA